rnacentral:precursor_RNA from 15 species
AUAUUGGGCACUCCAGUUUUAAAAUUGAAUGGCGAAUGUCGGUAUGGUCUCUUUUUCAAAGAAAGGUUUCGAUUAAGCGAAGUGACUAGACCGAACACUCGUGCUAUAAUUUUAAAAUAUUCAACAUGCUCAGUA